rnacentral:rRNA from 3 species
UACGAAGGGGGCUAGCGUUGUUCGGAAUCACUGGGCGUAAAGCGCACGUAGGCGGACUUUCAAGUCAGGGGUGAAAUCCCGGAGCUCAACUUCGGAAUUGCCUUUGAUACUGUUGGUCUCGAGUCCGGAAGAGGUGGGUGGAAUUCCUAGUGUAGAGGUGAAAUUCGUAGAUAUUAGGAAGAACACCGGUGGCGAAGGCGGCCCACUGGUCCGGUACUGACGCUGAGGUGCGAAAGCGUGGGGAGCAAACAGG